rnacentral:rRNA from 1 species
ACAACUUUCAGCAACGGAUCUCUUGGCUCUCGCAUCGAUGAAGAACGCAGCGAAAUGCGAUAAGUAAUGUGAAUUGCAGAAUUCAGUGAAUCAUCGAAUCUUUGAACGCACCUUACGCUCCUUGGUAUUCCGAGGAGCAUGCCUGUUUGAGUAUCA